GACGAACGCUGGCGGCGUGCUUAACACAUGCAAGUCGAGCGGAGCGGCGAACGGGUGAGUAACGCGUGAGUAACUUCCCCCCUCUCUGGGAUAACAGUUGGAAACGGCUGCUAAUACCGGAUAGUGGGGGAUGACUCGCGUCCUAUCAGCUUUUUGGUGGGGUAGUGGCUUACCAUGGCGACGACGGGUAGCCGGCCUGAGAGGGCGACCGGCCACAUUGGGAUGAAGUACGGCCCAAACUCCUACGGGAGGCAGCAGUGGGGAAUAUUGCACAAUGGGGGAAACCCUGAUGCAGCAACGCGCGUGCGGGAUGACGGCCUUCGGGUUGUAAACCGCUUUCAGCCAUGACGCGGUAGUGGCAGAAGAAGCACCGGCUAACUACGUGCCAGCAGCCGCGGUAAUAC
rnacentral:rRNA from 1 species